UACAGAGGGGGCAAGCGUUGUUCGGAAUUACUGGGCGUAAAGGGCGCGUAGGCGGCCUGCUAUGUCGAACGUGAAAUCCCCGGGCUCAACCCGGGAACUGCGUCCGAAACUGGCAGGCUUGAAUCCGGGAGAGGGAUGUGGAAUUCCAGGUGUAGCGGUGAAAUGCGUAGAUAUCUGGAGGAACACCGGUGGCGAAGGCGGCAUCCUGGACCGGUAUUGACGCUGAGGCGCGAAAGCCAGGGGAGCAAACGGG
rnacentral:rRNA from 1 species